rnacentral:rRNA from 1 species
CAGUCGCCGCGGGAAUACGAAGGGGGCUAGCGUUGCUCGGAAUCACUGGGCGUAAAGGGUGCGUAGGCGGGUCUUUAAGUCAGGGGUGAAAUCCUGGAGCUCAACUCCAGAACUGCCUUUGAUACUGAAGAUCUUGAGUAUGGGAGAGGUGAGUGGAACUGCGAGUGUAGAGGUGAAAUUCGUAGAUAUUCGCAAGAACACCAGUGGCGAAGGCGGCUCACUGGCCCAUAACUGACGCUGAGGCACGAAAGCGUGGGGAGCAAACAGGAUUAGAUACCCGCGUAGUCCCUGUCUCUUAUAC